AUACUGAGUGGCAAACGGGUGAGUAUAAUGUGGGAAUCUGCCUUUUGGUUCGGAAUAACACGAGGAAACUUGUGCUAAUACCAGAUAAGCCCUUACGGGGAAAGUUUUAAUGCCAAAAGAUGAGCCCGCACUUGAUUAGCUAGUUGGUAAGGUAAUGGCUUACCAAGGCAACGAUCAAUAGCUGUUCUUAGAGGAAGACCAGCCACAUUGGGACUGAGACACGGCCCAAACUCCUACGGGAGGCAGCAGUGGGGAAUCUUGCACAAUGGGGGAAACCCUGAUGCAGCGAUGCCGCGUGAGUGAAGAAGGCCCUUGGGUUGUAAAACUCUUUCGUCGGGGAAGAAAAUGACUGUACCCGAAUAAGAAGGUCCGGCUAACUUCGUGCCAGCAGCCGCGGUAAUACGAAGGGACCUAGCGUAGUUCGGAAUUACUGGGCUUAAAGAGUUCGUAGGUGGUUAAAAAAGUUGAUGGUGAAAUCCCAAGGCUCAACCUUGGAACUGCCAUCAAAACUUUUUAGCUAGAGUGUGAUAGAGGAAAGUGGAAUUUCUAGUGUAGAGGUGAAAUUCGUAGAUAUUAGAAAGAACAUCAAAAGCGAAGGCAACUUUCUGGAUCAUUACUGACACUGAGGAACGAAAGCAUGGGUAGCGAAGAGGAUUAGAUACCCUCGUAGUCCAUGCCGUAAACGAUGUGUGCUAGACGUUGGAAACUUAGUUUUCAGUGUCGCAGCGAAAGCAUUAAGCACACCGCCUGGGGAGUACGACCGCAAGGUUUAAACUCAAAUGAAUUGACGGGGACCCGCACAAGUAGU
rnacentral:rRNA from 1 species